rnacentral:rRNA from 1 species
UACGGAGGGGCUAGCGUUAAUCGGAAUUACUGGGCGUAAAGCGUGCGCAGGCGGUUUUGUAAGUCUGUCGUGAAAUCCCCGGGCUCAACCUGGGAAUUGCGAUGGAGACUGCAAGGCUUGAAUCUGGCAGAGGGGGUAGAAUUCCACGUGUAGCAGUGAAAUGCGUAGAGAUGUGGAGGAACACCGAUGGCGAAGGCAGCCCCCUGGGUCAAGAUUGACGCUCAUGCACGAAAGCGUGGGGAGCAAACAGG